rnacentral:rRNA from 1 species
UUUAAUAGAAGAUUUGAUUUUUGAUUUUUGUUUGUUUUUCAUAAUAAAUAUUAUAGUUAUUGGCGGUAUUAAAUUAAAUUCUGAGGAACUUGUUUAUUUAAAUUGAUAAUACUCAUUAAAUUUUAUCUAAUAAGAUUUUAUGUAUUGCUGUUUUAUUUAUUAUUUAAAAUUUAAAUAAAUUUAGUAAUUUUAUUUUAAAAAGUUAAGAAUUCAAGUCAAAAUGUAGAUUUUUUUAGGUAUGAAUGAGUUACUUUUAUUUUGAAGAAUGAGGCUGAAUUUAAAGUGUAAUUUUUUUAGGAAGUUGGAUUAGGGAGUAAAAAAAUAUUAAUAAGAUUUUUUGAUAAAUUUAUUGAUAUGUACAUAUCGCCCGUCGCUUACAAAUUUUUAAAUUUUUA